GUGCUUACUUUGGCAGCACGUAUACUAAAAUUGGAAAGAUACAGAGAAGAUUAGCAUGGCCCUGGUGCAAGGAUAACCUGCAAAUUCAUGAAAAAUCUCCCAACCUA